ACAGAUAGUGAACAGCUGGUGAUAAAUCGUGUGCUCUGUGUAAAGUGUAUAAAUUACUAUCGGUUUAAAGAAAAGGCGAAAAGUUAAUACUUGAAAUACAUCUAGAUAAAGACCUAUCUAUAUUUUGUUUUGCAUACGUCCAAUAAAAACUUGUGAUUUGCUAAAUUAUCGAUUUCGAUCGAAUUAAUAUUAUAACCGUACAUUUGGUAAA